UAGUAAUCCAGCCGCCGCGGUAAAACGUAGGUCACAAGCGUUGUCCGGAAUUACUGGGUGUAAAGGGAGCGCAGGCGGGAAGACAAGUUGGAAGUGAAAUCCAUGGGCUCAACCCAUGAACUGCUUUCAAAACUGUUUUUCUUGAGUAGUGCAGAGGUAGGCGGAAUUCCCGGUGUAGCGGUGGAAUGCGUAGAUAUCGGGAGGAACACCAGUGGCGAAGGCGGCCUACUGGGCACCAACUGACGCUGAGGCUCGAAAGUGUGGGUAGCAAACAGG
rnacentral:rRNA from 1 species